UACGUAGGGUGCAAGCGUUGUCCGGAAUUAUUGGGCGUAAAGAGCUCGUAGGCGGUCUGUCGCGUCUGCUGUGAAAACUCGAGGCUCAACCUCGAGACGCCGGUUGAAACCAUCAGGCUAGAGUCCGGAAGAGGAGAGUGGAAUUCCCGGUGUAGCGGUGAAAUGCGCAGAUAUCGGGAAGAACACCCGUGGCUAAGGCGGCUCUCUAGUACGGUACUGACGCUGAGACGCGAAAGCGUGGGGAGCGAACAGG
rnacentral:rRNA from 1 species